rnacentral:rRNA from 1 species
CAGGGAUCCCACCAGGAGAGCCCGACCUAGCGCUGCCCGCGUCAUGCGUCGUGCGUCAUGGGAGCAGUUGCGGAGGGGACGGCCGGUGCGUGUGCACCCGGCUUCUGUAACCGUCUUUGGCAUGCCGCGAUGACGGGUGGGCCGGCGCUGCUCGUGGUCCCGCUCGUCGGCUGCACUAGAUGCGUGUCUCGUCGGGGUCACCACAUCGUCGUUUUCGUUCGCGUCUGGUGUUGGAGAGAGUUGUGCGGCUGACUCCUGCGUCGUGCUCUGCCUGGCCCCUGCGCCAUGCCGCGUCUCGUCUAAGGCAGCAGGAGCGUGCGGUGUGGGUGCCCCCAAACCAUAGGUCUCCUCGCUCCUCCCUUCCUCCCCCUCCCCCCGGCAGCCCGAGGAGCUCUGCCAUCGAUGAGAUCCAGCGCCUCCCAAGGUCCUUAUCCACCACAGCUCGCGAGGAAGCUGCGGUAGGAGAUCAACCGGGCAUUCGCCGGCCGGAGAAGGAGGAGAGGCGCAGAUGCCAGCCAGGAAGGUGGAUCGGUUCGCCUCCGCUGUGCCGUGAGCACCGCCGCCGCCUUUGCAUCCACCUUGCUCCGCGUAGCAGCAUGUGUGCGGAAGCAUGGACAGGUGACCACGAGUAGAUGGCGUCGGCGGCAACAGCAACACGCACGGUGUGAUGGGCGCGGCCUGCCCGCAGGCAUUCUAGGCUUGCGUGCCCGAUGGCUCGGAACGCGCGCGCCCGGCGCACAGGAGGUAUAUGCCUUGGAGCACGCCGGCGGCAACGUGCACCGCGAGGUCCCGGAGCAGCCCGGCCAGUACAGAGCCCCUCCGUAUUGGACGGACCCUGCGACUCCAUCCUCGCCUCCACUCACAGGUCUAUGCCGAUUUCCACAACAACACUGCCUUCAACUUUCUCAUUUCCCCGGCUCUGCAUACAAGGUGCAAACUAGGUAUGCCAUCUUGUUAUCGCUUGUUCAGUCGCUUUCUGGUUUAUUCCCUUUCACCUACAUAUGGUGAGGCAGUGUGUGGAAUUUAGGGGCUGGUUUGAACCAAUUACAAUGAUGUAGUGGUGCGGAUCAUUUCAGUCACCGACUUUAUAUUGUGGUCAGCUUGUUUGUCUUCUUGCUCAUGCAUUCUAAUACAUGAUGUCCUGAUGAUUUGUGAAGUUCUGUGUAUCACGUGAUCAGCUGCACAUCAGGUAGCAUGGCAGCUUGAUUGUUGCUUUUAGGAUGUACAUGUACCCAGGUGGAUCAAAUACAGAUAGCGAUCAUAUAUUUUUGUUUACUCGUGUGUUUUUCAUGUGUCUGCCAAGAAUUUCGACAAAUUGAUUAUAUCAUUCAGAUGUAUUCAGGCCAGGUUUCUAUGAUCCAAAAAAAUCAUGUGGCACUGGCUUUCUUGUUACAUACAAAACUAAAUGUGGACAAGUAUAUAUGUCAUUUUUUGGUAACUGACAAAAGUUUAUCUGGCACUGACUAUUGCGAUGCAUCUUUCUACGUGUGUGUAUUUAUUUGCAUUAUCAAUAUUUUCCUCCAAAUCAUUUGUUGGUCAUAAAUUAUUUUGCAUUAUUGAUGAUUAAUUUGCAAUUGAAAUGACAACAGGGCCGGGUUUUAUAAGUGUAAUGGGUUCAAGUGUGACCUUCCAGUCAAAAAAUGUCCUCAGCAAGAAGCUUAUGUGAAGAUCCCUUUUCUACUUUGAAUGAACUUACUGUAUAUAUCUCUUAUUUAGUUUAGUUCAUCAUUCAGAGAUGCAUGGUGGAAUAUUUUUGUCCUUCACAGGUUAAAUGAGCAUUGCGUAAAAGUCUGUCUAAGUCUCUUUCUUAUUCUUCUAUAAACUGGAAGGCAAAUAUAGAUUUCUCAUGCAUAGUUUAUCAAUCAUGAUCUCACCUCCUUUCUAUAUGCAGACAGUGUGGUACUCACUGGGGAUGCUUGCAGAUUGGUAGUGGAUGUGUGCAGUGAUGGAGGGUUAUGUCCCUAUGGGUGACAGGCAUGGUGAUGUUCACCACUGGUAUGGAGAGAAUAGGGAAAAAGAUAACUUCCCUUGAGCUAUGAAAUGUGAUGAAUCAACAAGUGUUCUCCAAAAGGCUGAAGGUGAAUAUCAAGGCCAUCGCCCUUUGAUGAUGCACACCCAUGGUUUGUUCACCAUAAUGCAAUGAUAAGAUGUUCUCGAUGGGUAUGUAGCAGGAAUCUCUUGUAGAGUUCAAAACCAGCCUUAUUACCAAUCAUUUAUGAUGUGGUUGUUCUUGUCUUUCAGUAGAACAAAAGAAGUGGAACAAAUGGGUUUAACUUGUAUGCCUACUCCUGUUGCGAUAAGCAUUUGGUUUCCAUCUACAAGACAAGUUUCUGCUUGUGUAACGACAAUACUGUCUGGGUCGUCCAGUUUUUAGCUAUCAUCUGUUCCAGGAUCAUCCUGACCAUUGGGUUCCUCAUGUUCUCCUUGGUGGUUCUGUACAUUGUCUUAAGACGCAUUGGCCUGUUGAUACUGCAAAUGGAGCUGGUUGAUUCUAGAGAUCAGGCUCAGUAUCAGCUGAAGACAUCUUGGAAAAAGUACAGGAGGGACCUGCUCAAACAAAUGCUCCUCCCAUCUAUGAUGAACUGUGAUUUUACUUUCAUCCAUUGUUUAUACAUGAGCUUACAUCCAGAAGCAAGCUUACCUCUUAGAGUUCUUAUUUCUUAGUACAUGUUGUCUAAAGUAAAAUUUUCCCAAAAAGGCUAUUACUGGUGCGUUAACCUACUGCUGGAAUUGAGCUGAAAUUGAAGUAUGCUUUAUAUUGUAUCCAUCAAGCAUAAAAAGUCAGUAGUCAAACUACAUUCAGUUGGAUGAAGUGUACACCAUCGGUCCUAAGAGUAUUAUGGGUGUGUCAAGCAGGUUUUAUAAGUUUGAAAAUGCCCACUAGGGUCCUAUAUGUGAUUAAGUCAUUUAUCGUGGGUUCUAACCUAUCCUUUUUUAAAAUAGCUAGCCUUCAUGAAUCUAAUUUUCUUAACAUGUAAGUAUGUCGCCUCAUCAAAUAACAUGGAUGAAAAAAGGUCCACC